UUGAACACAUACCUCCCUGCUCGCGUGGUCGGUGGAGCCUUUUGGUGCAGAGGCACAUUUGCACGGGGCAGAGGCGAUGAUCGAACAAGUGCCGCCCGCCUGUGGAGCUGCUGAUGGUGGUGCCCGGCUCUCGGGACUUCACUGCGUAUCAUUAGAGAAGAGGGUGGUAUUACGGCACCUGCCAAAGUAGCCCAGGGUGAAGGUCGGAUAUUCUCAGUGCGCGAAGGAGGCUUCCCCCAGACUGCAGGCCGUGCUGGCUCCUGCCCUUCUGUAUCCUCGAGAGACAGAGUCGGGCCUUCUCCAGCCCUUCUCCCAGUGCUCCUCAGGCUAUUCCUGACCCGUUCCCCACAGUGGGUGUGGGUGUGUCUGGUACCUCCAGGCAGCUAGCGCAGACUUGGCAAGUGGCGUCCCUCUUGUUUGUGUUUUCUGGCUGCCUUGUCCAAGGGGCUUUGGCAACACUGUCAAUAUGUACUUUGCAGUGUGCAAAUAUGCCCAGCUAUUCUUCUGAACAGGGCUGGGAUUCUGCAAUCACAGCAAACAAGCUCAGGAAUGUCUUGCGUAGAGGCUGUCUUCUCCUGGGCGAAUAAGUAGCCCUUUCAAAGACAGGUGGGGGGCGUCAGGGCAGCAUGGGUGUGGAGGUGGGGGGCCGGAGCUCAUUCCACACUCAGAUCCACACCACUGCAGUUUGUAAGAGGUCCUGGGAGGAAGCAGGAGGCGUUUUUGCUGAAGUGUUUUGGAACAGUUACCUUCAAGAUAGUCUCUGGGGGUCUAAGGAAAUGUCCAGUUUCAGUGCUGGAAGUCAACUCGCUGCUUAUGGUCAAAAUUGCAUCGUUGGGGAAGGGGCUGUGGCUGCAAGAGUGCUGGAUUCCUGUACACACCGUACACGGCACAUGGCGGCUCGUGUCUUGCAUAGCCCAGCAGCUGGCAGAGCUGCGGGCCAUCUCUCCCGUUGGCAUUUUGUGGACUGACCUUGGGUGCCUGAAGUGUUGAAUUGCUCAGUAUCUUGUCUGCCUAGUGUGUGAACUCCGAAAAUGUUUCCCAGACUGCCUCUGAACUUGUGGUUUAGGAGGGAGGGGGUUGUUUGGGUAUAUUGCCUUGUAACUGCCUUAAGCCUUACUCCUUUCAAAGAGAAGUUGCCAGGCUCGUAGGCAUUUUACGUCAUGUAAUCCUAUGGACCUGUGCCUAUGGAAAGAGACUGAUUUCCUGAAUAA